UUGAAAGGGAAACGAUUGAAGUCAGCCGUACCAGCGGGGAAUCAACCUUUCGAGUGGGGUUUUGGAGUUUUUUGAAGAGUGUCAAAACCUUUAUUUCAAAAUAUUCGCUCUUUUGGUGUACUUUCUCGUGGGUAGGUUAACAUCGAUUUUGAUCAUCAUAAAAAGAUUGGAGGAAUGUAGCUUCGAUCUUGUAUUGAAGUGUUAUAGCCUUUGGUAAAUGUGAUGAUUAGGAUCGAGGAUUGCAACGAAUACCCUUUUGGGCUAUCCGCCUGAUCUCUGAUACGUGGCCUUGGUAUCGAAAGCGUGCUUAUGGUAUUGAGGUAUUACGGUCAAAAGGUUAGAACGGAUUACAUUCGUUAAGGAUGUUGACGUA
rnacentral:rRNA from 1 species